UUUACAGGGUUUGUGUUCAGGGCACUCUGGCGUGCUGGUUUUACAGGGAGAUUGUGUUCGGUGCAUUCUGGCGUGCUGGUCUUACAGGGAGGUGUGUUCAGGUGCAUUCUGGGCGUGCUGGUCUUACAGGGAGUGUGUUCAGUGCACUCUGGGCGUGCUGGUUUUACAGGGAGUGUGUUCUGGUGCAUUCUCGUGUUGCUGGUCUUACAGGGGGUGUUCAGGUGCAUUCUGGUGCUGGUCUUACAGGAAUGUGUUCAGGUGCAUUCUGGGCGUGCUGGUCUUACAGGGAGGUGUGUUCAGGUGCAUUCUGGGCGUGCUGGUCUUACAGGGAGGUGUGUUCAGGUGCAUUCUGGGCGUGCUGGUCUUACAGGGAGGUGUGUUCAGGUGCAUUCUGGGCGUUUGGUGUCUUACAAGGAGGUGUGUUCAGUGCAUUCUGGGCGGGCUGGUCUUACAGGGAGGUGGUUCAGGUGAAUAAUUGGCGUAUUGUUAUCUUGAGGCAGAGGAAGUGAUCACGCCAUUGAC